rnacentral:SRP_RNA from 1 species
GCCGGGCAUAGUGGUGCAUGCCUGUAGUCCCAGCUACUCAGAAGGCUGAGGUGGGAGGAUCGCUUGAGCCCAGGAGGUCAAGGCUGCAGUGAGCUGUGAUUGCACCACUGCACCCCAGCCUGAGCGACAGAGCAAGACCCUGUCUCAA